AUUUUUAAAGCAUAAGUAAGUGGCAUAGAAUGAUUUACAAGGAAUUUUAAAAGCUUUGAAAAGGGGUUAACAUGGUUUACAAUCGUUUUUAAAGCAUAAGUAAGUGGCAUAUAAUGAUUUACAAGGAAUUUUAAAAGCUUUGAAAAGUGGUUAACAUGGUUUACAAUCGUUUUAAAGCAUAAGUAAAUGGCAUAGACCUAUCACGAAAGCGUAAGUAAAGGGGUAAACACUAAAUCA
rnacentral:sRNA from 1 species